UACGUAGGUGGCAAGCGUUGUCCGGAAUCAUUGGGCGUAAAGCGCGCGUAGGCGGCCAGAUAAGUCCGGUGUGAAAGUCACAGGCUCAACCUGUGAAUGCCGCUGGAAACUGUCUGGCUCGAGUCCGGGAGGGGCGAGUGGAAUUCCUGGUGUAGCGGUGAAAUGCGCAGAUAUCAGGAGGAACACCAAUGGCGAAGGCAGCUCGCUGGAACGGUACUGACGCUGAGGCGCGAAAGCGUGGGGAGCGAACAGG
rnacentral:rRNA from 1 species